rnacentral:rRNA from 1 species
UGGGGAAUAUUGGACAAUGGGCGAAAGCCUGAUCCAGCCAUGCCGCGUGUGUGAAGAAGGUCUUCGGAUUGUAAAGCACUUUAAGUUGGGAGGAAGGGCAUUAACCUAAUACGUUAGUGUUUUGACGUUACCGACAGAAUAAGCACCGGCUAACUCUGUGCCAGCAGCCGCGGUAAUACAGAGGGUGCAAGCGUUAACCGGAAUUACUGGGCGUAAAGCGCGCGUAGGUGGUUUGUUAAGUUGGAUGUGAAAGCCCCGGGCUCAACCUGGGAACUGCAUCCAAAACUGGCAAGCUAGAGUACGGUAGAGGGUGGUGGAAUUUCCUGUGUAGCGGUGAAAUGCGUAGAUAUAGGAAGGAACACCAGUGGCGAAGGCGACCACCUGGACUGAUACUGACACUGAGGUGCGAAAGCGUGGGGAGCAAACA